GCCGAGGCCUCUGCUCUGUCUUCUGCUGGGGACAGGGAGACAGUGGGCCUGGUCAAGCCUUCCACAGCACUCCUGCUGUCCUCUCUGAUGCUGCCUGGCCACCCUGGUCAAAGCCUCACGCUGUCAGAAGGCACCUAUGUAACCUUCUCCUGAGUGUAGGGUAUGGCAGGAGAUCCCAGUCUCGCCAACCUCCCGUUGCUGGCUUUUUCCACUGACACAGUUCAUCUCCUCAAUUUCCUCUGCUCCCAGAGCAAAGGAAUCACAGCAGGCAAGGAGGCUGACCCCGGCCCCACUGCUCUGCAUUGGUACUUUCCAUGUGAUGGGCAAACCCCGAGCUACACUACACACCAGGCCCAAGAAAUCAGAGAUCAAUGAGACCCAGCCCCUACUCUGAGGACCCACCUUGCCCUUCUUUCCUUUGACUGAGUCCCUCAAAGAGAGGAGUCUAUGUCUCCAGCCCCUCCCUUCCAUGACCACCUGGGCAGCUGGCGUUUGUGGAAGGCUGCAAGUGCUGGCACACACGGCCUCUGUCUGGCUUACCCCAGACUCAGAAUUCUUUCCAGUGAGCUGUCUUUUCUAACAGCCCUUUGCUUUGUGUAGGAGCAGGGCACCUGGCCCUGGAUGAGCUAUUACCUCCCAGUUUCUUUCUGCUCCCCAGGGGCAAUGGGGUAGGGAGGGGCAGCCUGGGAAUAUGCACAGCUCCCUUCACACCUGGCUCCUUCCCACACAUCUCAUUCAUGUUUGCUUUGAGAUAGCAUCAGGACCAGAAUGGGAAAGAGUGUGUGUGAAUGGGAAAAGGGGCGUGUGGCUUGGGGAAGAGAAUGUGGGGCACUAGAACAUGUGAAGAGCAAGGGAAAGGAUGUCAAUUAUGCUGCCAAACUUGUGUUUCCUCCUUCUCUUUAUAUUCCUGAGUCCCACUGUCUAGCCUGGGGCAAUCUGGCCCCUCACUGAGCCUCAGAAACAUGGGGUGUCUUCCUCCCCGACCUGCAGACGGUGCCCUGCUCUUGCCUACAUCCAGUGAGGUGCUGGGGUAAAGGCUGGUGGGAAACGCUGCAGCUCUCUGAAGGCCUCUGGCUCCUCCUCUGUGAAUAACUGCUUUUCCCUCUUAUUAGAGAACAGAGCACCGCCUAAGGCAACAUGUGGUCCCCUCUACUAAACAACUUCAGCUUGGUGAACUGAGAUCUCAGUGCCUCUCUUCUGGGGGCCUAGAAGGCAGAACCUGGAGGGGCCUCUUCCAGGUCAGCAGUUUGUGCCUCACCAUCCCUGCCCCGCAGUCCCAGGAGGCGUGAAUGGGCGUAGGGUUUCCCAGUAACGGAAGGCUCUGCCCUGAGCCUGGCUCACCCCUGCCGUUGAUCCUGAUCUUCAUGGGGAGCUGUCGUGCCAUGGUGAAAAAGUUGCGCUGGAAGGCCUGCUGCACCAGGCGCUGCUCCUCCUCGGACAGCCUCGACGCCUUCUUCUCAGCAGGCUCCCCUGACUCCAGCCGCUCCCUCAGCUGCUCCAGCGCGGCGGUCCGAGUACCAGCCUGCUGGUUUGCCAAGGUCACGGGCACAGCCAGGCGAUUUGGCACAGGCACUGCUGUCACUGGGGCUCCAUCACCUGCAAAAGAACUGGAGCUGGAAAAAUCCACAAUUGACCCUCCUGCCCAAAAACCCCAGUCUUGAACACAGGGAAACUGGCAUCCCUUCCUCCCUUCCUUCUCCCCCAGGAGCCCUACUGACCUUUCCUGAGAGUGGUUGCUGGGGAUAUCCGAGGGCUACUGGUAUUGCUGCCACUGCUAGAGCCAAGCCCAAGGAUGGGAAAGCGGAUCUUGGGUGGGGAGAGGAGGGCAGGGGCAGUGGCAGCAGCAGUAGCCGCAGCAGGUGAGUAGCCAAAGAGGGAGGAGCUGUAGCUGGGCCGCCGGCCCUCCCUGCGGUUGCCAUCAAUGGCUGCCUGGAGCUCGGCUGGGGAACUCAAGGCUUUCUUCUCACACUCAUAGGCAUACAGAUACUUCAUGUACCUGGAGGAAAGGAAGCAAGCAGGAAUAAUAAUCCAAAACAGCACCAGAGAUCACCCAGUUGAGGUCCCAAGAAGCAGCUCUCUACCCAGGAACCUCACCAUUCUGGUUGUAGCUACAACAUGCUACCUAACUGAUGUCAGCUGUACAUUGCAUACUCUUCACAGAACUCCAGAGUGUUCCAGAAGAACAGACUCCUCUCUGGCCCUCAUUCUUCAGUGCUAUUAUUGGUUUCACCUCUUCCAUCACCCGUGUGAUUAACUCAAAUGCUGAUAAAACCAGAUCACCAAUCCAAGGGGGCCUUCCUGCCUGCCUUUCUCUGGGUCCUCUGCCACUGGGUUACAACAUCCCCUUUCUUCAGCCUCGGCUUCCUUCCCCCAGGCCCUGGCCACUCACUGGGUCCUGAGGGUGAAGGCGGCACUGGUGAUGGAUGUGGGCAGGUUCAGGCCUUUGGUGAUCUCCCUCCAAAUCUUCUUGUUGAUGAUCUCCACCAGGCCCCCCUUCUCAGUCACCAGCUUAUACAGCAUGUACAGGUCCAGGAUCUGCUUGGCCAUGAUGGGGAUUCGGUUGAUGGGGGUCCCUGUGGUUGUCCGAGAGAAAGAGACAGCGGGAUCAUCAUCAGGCUGAGAAGGAUUCCGCGUAUGCCCACCUUUAACUGAGCUGGAAACAAUGCUCAUGAAUCUGUUUGGAAGUGUAAUUUAAUUCAAACUCCCCAAGCCUGAAGACUCAGACUAGCUGUCAGGACAGGUCCAAUGCACAGGCUAUGUGGGCCUUUGGCAAAGCACUUAGACUCUCUGGUUCUGUUUUGCCGUCUGUAAAUAAGAGGGCCAGACUAGAUGAUUUCAAAGGUGCUUGUUUUUUAGUUUGUGUGUGUGUGUGUGUUUGUUUUGU